UCGUAUAAUAUAACUGGAGUCAAAUCAUUGCAGGGACCAAAAUAAAACCAUUUAAUGAGUUAAUUAAUUGUAGUUAAUUACGCUUUAACUUUUCUACUCAACGCCAGAUGUCGCUCUACAGCAAAAUUCUACUUGACGUAAAACAUUUAUACAUAGCGGUAAUCUCGUCAGUCUUACUCCAUCAUUUUAAAAAGUAUAGACUAGUUUAUGGAUUUCUAAAGUUAUGUCAAGAUGACUCUGAAUGUAAUAUUGUCAACAAUAAUUGUCAAAGCACGCAAUUUAAAAUAUUCCACAUUGUAAUUACAAAAUAGUAUAUUUCUAAUACGCUAUAAUUUUCUCCAAUCGAAAGGCACUCCAUUCCAUUGAUCUCAGAGAGUAUGCUCCUUGAUGAUCUUCACUAUUCAUGGGGUAGAAACCAUACGGCAAUAAUGAGGAUGCAUCGACAUAAGAAGAAUCGAACAUGGGCAAGAUAAAGUUCAAGAAAAAAGCAAAUAUAAUGUGUACUUGUGUGUAGUCAAAGAAAGUUGAAAAAUAAAGCAUAAGUAAUGGCCAUAGAAUACAGAACCGAUACACGAACAUUAAGACUAUUAAAAAUAGACAUAUAGGUUGAUCGUACUACUCGUACUAAUGUAUUUCUUUUGUUCAAUUAUAUUAUUGCAUUAAAGUUAGAUUCUCUAGGUAUAUAUUAUUCAUAGGUUCUGUAUUCUAUACGAAUUGUUUUAGUGUAAUUAUUGUACUAAAUACCGUUGACCGCCUGUCAACAGUAUUUAUUUCUACAUUACUAUCACAGAAGAUUUUAGGCCCUACAGUAGUUUUUGAAUUAGUAUUUACUAUGGACAAAUAUAGCGAAAUGUGAGUUUUUACCUAAAAUAUCAAUCUUUUGUGAACGUGGUGUAGAGUAUAUACCGCCUAAGACUGAAGUAGCUACGCGGGCAACGUUUUCAAAAUAGAAUCGUGUUCAUGGUCGGCCCAUGGUAAAAAUAAUUAGGUUAAAAAACACUUAAAAUAAACCCCGUGGACCUACCAGGAGAACAUAUUGGAGAGACUAGAGAUAAUACACCGCUUUAAGGGCGGUCGCACUCGGCAUUGACAUCUGGCGUCUAGAUGGCGGGUGGACUUCAGCGAAUUUCAAAGAAAUAUUUAUAAACAUCCAAUGACGUUCAGCUCGGACACCAGAUCUUCAAUCUCCUGAUUCCUGUGGAGUCUCCAGGUUCCAUCCUCUCCACGUGUGAGUCCUAGGAUUUUUCGCGCUGCCAGACUCCGAUGACUCGGGCACGUAGUCCAGAUGGGUGAGGAUCGUGCAGCCUGGAGGGCGUACUCUGAAGUUCCAAAUGGCCGAAGACCGUCUAGACGUCCUAGGUAGGUCCCGCUGGAGAGACGAAAUGCAAAAAGACCUUAGCGAACUCGGCGCCGUCGACUAGAUGGAAACGGUUUUGGACAGAGAAGCAUGGCGGUCUUUGGUGUCGGAGGCCAAGAUCCACUUCGGGUCUCUGCGCCAUAGCAGUAAGUAAGUAUUUAUAAACAUACUGUACCUUCUGUGUACCUAACCCAAAACGAGAGAAAGUCCACCCGCCAUUCUGACGUCAGGAUUGCGGUUGGACCUAUGAAAUCUUGCAUUAUACCGCACUAAAAGUAUGCAGUUAUAUGGUACAGUCGCCAUCAGAUAUCGGAGUGGCCGAAGUGCUCAAAGAUAUCUAAACACGCACUCUAACCUCUUGACAGUAGAGGCAUGUUCAGAUAUUCGUGGGUACCUUGGCCGCUCCGAUAUAUAUGAUGGUGACUGUACCUUCAGUGUACCUCUGUAAAUAGAAAUAGAAACCGGUGUACUGCAUACUUUUAGUGCGGUAUAAUGCAAGAUUUCAUAGGUCCACCCGCCAUCCUGACGUCAGGUUGGCGAGUGGACCGUUUUGUAAAAUAUCUCGUUUUGGGGAAAGGUACACUGGUUUCUAUUAAAGGUACACUGAGGUACACAGAAGGUACAAUAUAUUUAUAAAUAUUUCUUUGAAAUUCGCUGAGGUCCACCGCCAUCCUGACGCUUACCAUAUAUCUAAGGACCGACCUUAGGGGCAAUAACGAUAGUGCUAGUUCAGUUGUGUCAUUCACAAAUUCGAGCCAAUCGUGCUGUCUAACGCAACUAGAUGCGAUCAAUCGCGUGCGUAAUGCGAACUCAUCAACCAAUCACGUUGUGGUACUUGUGGCGUUAGACUGCACGAUUGGUUCCAACUCGUGUGCGUAACACCGCUGUACUGGCCCCAUUCUUAUUGCCCGUAAGGCCCGUCCUCAGAUAUAUUAUGUCAAUGACACAGUCGCGAUUUUAAAAAAUCACAUCGCUUCUGCUACCAAAUUGUUGAGCAUAACGUUUUCCUAUCCAUAGGUUCCAUCUGUCCAGUAGGAUCCACCAUCUCGAUCCACCAGAUUGAAGAGAUUGUUACUUAACUGAUGGAUCGAGAUAAUGAAACCUACUGAAUAGAGCGGGUCGAUUGGAUAUACCAAAGUACGCUUAUAUGAAACGCUACUCCGGUGUGCGAGUGAGACAGUCAGGCCAAUUUGAACUUGCAUUUGACAGAAAACUGAUUGUCUCCAUCAAACGCUACCAGUUCCAUUGCCGGCCUCUUCGCUGCCUUCUAUAGUGGUUCAAUCUUACCUUGCUUAUGAAUAAAAAGGAGCGUGCACAGCACCGAUAUUAGAGUAAUAUUGGAAUCAUAUCAGUUAGUUGCGGGCGUCUCGCUCGCACAAAUACAUGCCUAUAAGUGCGAAAUGAACGCACGAAUGACAGCUAACUGGUAUCAUUCCAAUUACGGAAGGUGGAGGUAAGGAAAUAAAUCUCCAUGUACCAAAAAGUGUCAUCAAAAAACAUUAAAUAGGUGGCGCUACAAUACCUAGAAUACUUGAACAAAAAAAUCAAAUCAUAGACAGCGCACUUCACUCCGUCAAUAGCGCCCAGGUUCUUAGCUACUCUAGCGCUACUCCGGAGAGAUUUGGAACUAUUAUUUAUAGCUGACAGCUGGACUCUUUUGCAACAGUUCUACCAUAAGAGAUGACACCCAUAAUUCCAAUAUUAUUCUAAAAUUGGUUUAAUGUCAGUUGCACUUUCGAAUUGGCCUACAUAGCGAUUUCCUUAGCCUGCAGACGUUGACGUUCAAAAGGUUAACCCUUUACCAGGCCCCGAAGAACCAGCGUGUCUUAAUACGUACUUUAUAUGCUGUUGCAACCGUAUUGAACGCCUUGUAAAAAAUGUAUUUAUGAAAGUCGGAGAUCUUCCUUUAAACCAGAAAUAAAAAUGUGGGUUACGGUUAUCCCAUCGCCUGUCUAAGUAAUGAACUGUCAUACUAGAUUUUGUCUUAUUAUAUUCUUGAUCAGGCCAAGGGAUAUAUUCCAACCACAUCUUAUAUCGGUUAUAAUAGUCAAGGUUUAACUCCAAAUCUCCUACGAAACAUUAUAUCAAUCACU